UCGAAACCUGCCCAGCAGAAAGACCCGCGAACAUGUUUUCCCAUGAACACGCGGG
rnacentral:rRNA from 1 species